GACUUCCGAGGGGCGGCGCGAACGGCAAUGGCGGUCCUCUUCUGAACGGGAGAGGAGGCUCCGCAGACAACGGGUCGUCCGCUACGGCGAAGCGGAGACCCACUCCGGAAAACCCCAGGCAGCAAGAGCUUGGGGUCUUGAGGCUCGGUGGGCGCCUUAAGUGACCCUCCAAACGUGAAAGGAACCUCGUAAGGGGCUCCGGAGCGUGGAGGGGGGUUGCGGCGCUGAGAGCUGCUUCACAGUCUGCGGAGUGAAGCCGCGCUGCUGCUGCCGGUGAGCGCUGAUCCUAUUUCCUGUUAAAUUACGGAUUCGGACGAAAAGCAACUUACUCGUGAGUAAAGACUGAAUCACUUGAAAUUAGAGACUUUAAAUGAAAAACCUUAAAUUGGCUUGAACUUGGCUGAAAGCGGAGAGACGUGGAAACAGGAAGUCCGUCUUCCGCAGCCAUUGAACUUGAAAAAAGCAACUAAGUUGGAGGAGUGGAGGCUGAAAGGAAGAGAUUUUAAACUUUACAGAUCUAAGCAUCUACUGAACUUGCAAUUUAAAGUAAAGACUUUAAGCUAAAGACUUGGAAUUUUAACUUGCACUUGACUUUCCCCUUUUAUUGGAUUACAAAUUAGAAGGUGAAACCCAGAGUCAGGAGCUGCCUGAGCAUUGAGAAAUUGAGCUGUCAGUAUUGCAGAUUUGGAUACUGUAUAUUGGAACUUGCAACAAUCUGAGGGUAUUGAGACUUUUUAAAUUUGAAACAUUCUUUUUGGAGAUAAAUAAGCACUGUCUGUAACAAAGUGACUACUUAUAAACUCUGCUAAAUAUUUAUAUUUGAAGGUUCUUGGACAUUAAAUUAGACUCUGAAAGACAUUUUAAGCUCCCUCUAGAGGAUUGGAUUAAAACAGUGACUUUACAUUUACAUUUACUUUCGAUUCCCUUGUUGUUUGCUUGCUCUGGGCCUUUCUAUUCCCAUGGGAAAAACUCAGUGUGACCUUGACUGAUAGACAACGUUGGAAUGAGUGGCACAAGGAAAAGAGGGAGAGUUAGACAAACAACUUUAACAACUCUAACCUCAGCCUCGCAGACACGUAGAUCAUCUGUACCUACUUUGCCCUCAGAAGUAGAACUUGAAGAAGUUGCCUUGCCACAGGCAAAAGAGGGAGAGGGUGAAGCAGAGCAGUUACAAUUGGAAGAUAUGGCCUCAGGAGUAUCUGUUUCUGUUCUAGACAAAAUCUUUGAAAAAUUGGAAGCUUUGGACAAGAAAGUAGAUGCGCAAUCAGCAAAGAUUGACAAAAAUACAGAAUGUCUAAAUAAAUUAACCAUACAAGUUGUACAGAAUACACAAGCAAUUGGACAGUUAACGGAGGCCUCAGCAGAAAAUCGGAAAUUGGCUGAGGAUACUAGACAAAAAUUGGAAAAUUUAGAGCAAGAGGUAAGACCACUCACCAAACAAGUUGGGGAACAUCAGACUUAUCUUUCCAUGAUAGAACUGCGAAAUCGUGAGAAUAAUUUGAGGAUUAGAUCAUUACAAGAGGCAGAAGAAGGAAAUUUAACUGAGUUUUUGACCAAAGAAUUUUCCAAGUUCUGGAAUUUGGAAGAAAAGGAUUUUAAAAUUGUGUCGGCUUUCAGACUUGGAAGAUUCACAAAGAAGGAGAGGCCCAGAGACUGUUUGAUUACAUUGAGAUCAAAGGAGGAAAGGGAUAAGAUUUUGGGCCUACAUUACGGAAAGUCACUGGAGGUUUUGGACAGAAGAAUUGAAAUUUAUAAAGAUAUUCCAAGACAACUGCUGGAUCUUAGAGCCGCCUAUUCUGAACUUGCUAAACUACUAAGGAGCAACGCAAUUCCAUUCAGGUGGGAAUUUCCCAAGGAAUAUCUUUUACCUUUAAAGGGAGAAAGGUCAAAGUUAGAACAUUGGAAGAGAGAGACAAAUUUUUGGCUACAUACGGAGAGGACCUUCAAAAAGGAAUUGAAUUACCUUCUGGGCCUGGGGCAAAGCCAGCAUUAACACCAGCACCUGGGGAACCUGAAGAUCCAGAGAAGACACCACCCCUGGAGAAAUAACCAGAUAGAUCCAGGAUGUCUCUGCAAUUGCUGAGUUGGAACAUUAAUGGUUGUAACAUUCCGGAAAAAAGGAAGAAAAUAUUUCAUAUAUUAAAAAAGAACAAUUGGACAUUAUCUGUUUACAAGAAACACAUGUGACGAGGCUCCACAGAAAAGUGUUAAUAAAUAAAAGAUUGGGCCAGGAAUUUGUUUCGUCGGACAAAGUUAAGAAGAGAGGCGUGGUGAUAUAUGCAAAAGAGAGCCUGUCACCUAAAUUCUUAUUUAAAGAUGAACAUGGAAGAAUUUUGGCCAUUGAGAUACAAUAUCAAGGAGAGAAACUGUUGAUAUUAGGAAUCUAUGCACCUAAUGAAGGGAAAUCGGAAUUUUACAAGAAGCUGCAGGGGACAAUGCUGGAAUAUCUGGAUUACAACAACAUCAUAAUGAUGGGAGACAUGAACGGGGUCGUGUCAACUAACAUGGACAAGUCACAAAGUCAAAAUGUUACAAAAGACGGCAGACUACCUAAAACUUUUUUUGAAAUGACUGACAAUAUGGAUUUGAUUGACAUUUGGAGGACAAAGAACCCACUAGGUAGAGAAGGAACAUUCUUUUCUGAAGCCCAACUGACCUGGACAAGAAUCGACCAAAUAUGGAUUUCCAGAGGCCUGGCACCUAAGGUCAGAAAAGUGGAAAUCUGCCCAAAGACCUGCUCUGACCAUAAUGCAGUAAAGAUGGAUAUGACACUACUACCAACUGGAUCCUUUAGAUGGAAGAUGAAUGACAAUUUGUUUAGAGAUCAGGAAAUUACCAAGAAGGCCCAAAAAGUUUUGAAGGACUAUUUUGAGAUAAACAUGAACAAUUCGGUGGAAAAAGAAUCGUCUGGGACGCAAGCAAAGCUGUAAUGAGGGGAUUCUUGAUACAACAGAAUGUAGUAAAGAAAAGAACACAAAAUGAGAAAAAAGAUAAGAUCUUGGAC